CAAUAGCGUAUAUUAAAGUUGUUGCAGUUAAAAAGCUCGUAGUUGGAUUUCUGGUGGGAGCGAUCGGUCUGGCGCUUAGCGCGAGUACUUGCAUCGUCUCCGGCCAUCCUUGGGGAGAGUCUGUCUGGCAUUAAGUUGUCGGGCAGAGGAUCCUCAUCGUUUACUGUGAAAAAAUUAGAGUGUUCAAAGCAGGCUUAUGCCGUUGAAUAUAUUAGCAUGGAAUAAUAAGAUAGGACUUUGGUACUAUUUUGUUGGUCUGCGCACCAAAGUAAUGAUUAAUAGGGACAGUUGGGGGUAUUCGUAUUCCGUUGUCAGAGGUGAAAUUCUUGGAUUUACGGAAGACGAACUACUGCGAAAGCAUUUACCAAGGAUGUUUUCAUUAAC
rnacentral:rRNA from 1 species